CUUGGUUCUUUGUCCUUACUCAAAUCUCAUCUCAGUCCCCACGUGUUGAGGUAGGACCUGCAAUUCUCACAUGUAGAGGGAGAGAGGUGAUUGGAUCAUGGGGGCAGUUUCCCCCACGCUGUUCUCGUGACAGUGAGUGAGUUCUCACGAGAUCUGACAGUUUUAUAGGAGUCUGGCAUUUCCCCUCCUUGUGCUUUUCUCUCCUGUGCCAUGUGAAGAACCUUGCUUCCUCUUUGCCUUCCACCAUGAUGCUUAGAAAAGGAGAGAAGCAAAUAUUGCUGUUCAUUUUAAGAGUCCUUUAAUGGUAAAACACUGUGGAACAUUUACGUGAAUCUGAAUGAAUAACAAAUGGAAUUGUUCUGAUCCAGGCUACUAAAAGGAAGGCUCAAUGAAUUAUUUUAAAAAACUCUUACAUAAUUCCUAGCAGUUUUGGAAAGGUCAAGGAAAAUAGGAGUGCACACCGCAUGAGGAUUAUGAGCGAUCUCUGCCCGACAAAAGCACUCAGGGACCCAGACUGCCACAGAUGUCGCCAUUUUUUACCUGCAGCAAGGAAGAUGUCCCAGCACAGAACCAGCCACGUGUUUUCAUCCAACUUAUGAUUUACACAGAAGCCUAAAACAUGCAAUCUUCAGUAUGCCCAGAGGGAAAGGAGAACCAAAUAUUGAUGACAACUAGUAAAUUACAUUGAAAGCAUAAUUUUAUAAUUUGGAGUCACAUCAAAUUCUGUCGUGCAAGUUGAAGGAGCAACAGAAGUUUUGGUUAGCAAAGGGAGAGCAGGUUGACAGAAACAAAACAGAUGAUGACCAGGCUGUCAAAGAUCCUGCCGGGCAAGAGGCUGUGGAGAUGCAACAGGACCAGACUAGGGGACAAAUUUAUUUCUAUUUCUGGAGCCAUUUAUUCAAUAAAUAUUAACUGAACUCUUCAGAGGUUCCUGCUGGGCCUCCCACUGCUCCAGUGCUUUUGAUGAAGCUAGACUAUUCCCUGCAGCAGUUCCUUUUCCCAUGUUUUGGCCUCUGAGGAUCAACAGUACAGCUCUAUCUUCUUUUUGAUG
rnacentral:lncRNA from 1 species